CUGGAAGAUUCUCCCAUACUCCCCCUCAAUCAUGGAAUGCAUAUUAGACCAAUAGUGCUUAGAGGUGGAUUCCCAGGCCGGAUCCUAGGUGAUAAAGGGCUUUAUGAUGUUUCUCAGGGAAAAGUGGUUGCACCUCACUACAUUAGCUGCUCUACCAUAUCAGAUCCAGUGGUCUUGUGUUCGAUUCUCUUGAGGGAAUAAUGAUGUGGAACAUCACUUGAAUAUGAGAGUGUGCCUAUUUCGUAAGGGAUUCUUCGACGUAAGGUCCAUACGAAUAGUCUUUGGGAUGGACUCUCAGGCGUGAUCCUGUGUGAUGAAGGGUUUGAUUGCAGCUCUUGUUCCAGCUAUAGCUUUUGGGAAAAGUGGGUGAAUCUCCCUACAUUAUAGCUCCUUAGGAUUGAACUUGAAUUACUUUCUACACCCAAAAGAUAAGCUACGGAGGGUUUAGUUAUAGUAUGUAACAAUAACAUCAACUUCUCCUCUGGGCACUUGUGUAUUUAUCUGUCAACCUAUGCAUAUUCUUUCCGUACAUCAAACUUAUGACUUGGGCCAAUGGGGAUGUCAUCUGGUCUAUACACCAUAGCAUUCAGUUUCCAUGAGGAGGUAUAGUAUAUCCUUCUGCUAUGAGAUUACUAUUCCAUCUUUUGUGUGAGCAAUCUCAAUCCUUAUUCCAAUCUUCCAAGGUACUUAAAUUUUAACUCCUUUUGCAAGUUGCUCCUUUAGUUUUCCUAUUUCCUCCAAGUCAUCUCCUGUUACAACAAUGUCAUCCUCAUAGAGCAUGAGGAUCUUAAACUCUUUCGUGGGGGUUUUCCUUCACUGUGGUUAUGCUCCAAAAAAACCCCAGACCAUGCCGUAGGUGUUUGUUCGAGAAUUGUAGAGAUUUUUUAUGUUUGUAUACUUUAUUCAUUCAAAAUUCGUCAACAAUGUCAUAGUUUCAUACGAAACUUGAUACAAUGCUUGAGAUGUAGGAAUUCAUGAUCCCAUUCCCAGAUCUUGUGGCUUAAAAGGCCCCAGGAUGACUUAGGUUGUUUAGGGGCUUCAGGUUUAAGUGAUAUGUUUGUUAUUGUUGGUCAUUGAAAGGAUACAAACUCCUUUAGCAACUUUUCCACCUAUCAAUUUUUGAAUCUCUUUGUUCAGUUGUUCCUUCUCCUUUUCCUUAGCACCACCAGAAAAAGCUAAAGGCUCUCGUUCGGGAGCCGGCCUUAACUCCCCCAAUAAUGUCUUUCCUUUGUUUAAAGAAAGUCCUCUCUGAGCUAGAAAAAAAGUCAGUAUUUGUCCAACAUGAUCUUUUCCCUUGGUACGAGGAUUCUUCUAUGAAGGAAUGCACCAACCUAACACCACUAGAGCGUUAGAUGUUGAAAACCUUUGUUUUCCUAAUGUCUUUCUAACAACCUGCCAGUAAAGAAAACCAUGCUGGCAAAGGAAAAUAUACUCCAUUACUAAUUAGGACCUUGUUCAUCAAGUAGAGGGUGGAAUGUGAUUCACUCCGGGUUGGUCAAGGUCUCCACUCAGACUACUCCAGAUAUCAAUUCAUUGUUGCUACAUGUCCGAUGUGGUACUUUUUGCUUUAUUUCCGGCGGAGGGAAUAAAGUUGCCCAUGAGUUGUCAUGUCAUGUUUAUGUUGAGUUUGAUGAUAGAGUCUUGAAUGUAUUUUUCUUUUUAUUUCACCUGUAAUUUGAGGCGAUUUACAUUAAUAAAAUACAAUAGUUUGCUCUCAAAAAAAAAAAAAAGGGGAACUUCAUUGUAUGUAUAUUCCAGCUUAAAAUGCUUCUUAUAACCACGUUCUUUUAACUGAAUACAUUCAACAACAUAAAAAGCACGUGAAAAAGGUAUGUAGAUUAUCUAUUAGGAAGUUCAAAGAAACACACAUUAAUCAUACAAAUUAACCCUUCCUGUACAUGUAUCCAGUUGAAAAAUAU